AUUACUGAUGAGACCCAGACAGAUCGAAACAGCUGUCCAAAGAAU
rnacentral:hammerhead_ribozyme from 1 species